ensembl:misc_RNA Metazoa_SRP Metazoan signal recognition particle RNA
GCCUGGCACGGUGGUGCAUGCCUGUAGUCCCGCUACUCAGGAGGCUGAGGUGGGAGGACUGCUUGAGUCCAGGAGUUCUGGGCUACAGUGCGCUAUGCCGAUUGGGUGCCCACACUAAGUUUGGCAUCAAUAUGGUGACCUCCCAGGAGUAGGGGACCACCAGGUUGCCUAAGGAGGGGUGAACCGGCCCAGGUUGGAAACAGAGCAGGUCAAAACUCCCGUGCUGAUCAGUAGUGGGAUCAUGCCUGUGAAUAGCCACUGUACUCCAGCCUGGGCAACAUAGCAAGACCCCAUCUCUA